UGGGGAAUAUUGGACAAUGGGCGCAAGCCUGAUCCAGCCAUGCCGCGUGAGUGAUGAAGGCCUUAGGGUUGUAGAGCUCUUUUGUCCGGGAAGAUAAUGACCGUACCGGAAGAAUAAGCUCCGGCUAACUUCGUGCCAGCAGCCGCGGUAAUACGAAGGGAGCUAGCGUUGUUCGGAAUUACUGGGCGUAAAGCGCAUGCAGGCGGAUCGUUAAGUCGAGGGUGAAAUCCCAGGGCUCAACCCUGGAACUGCCUUCGAUACUGGCGACCUUGAGUCCGGGAGAGGUGAGUGGAACUCCGAGUGUAGAGGUGAAAUUCGUAGAUAUUAGGAAGAACACCGGUGGCGAAGGCGGCUCACUGGUCCGGUACUGACGCUGAGGUGCGAAAGCGUGGGGAGCAAACA
rnacentral:rRNA from 1 species